rnacentral:rRNA from 1 species
UGGGGAAUCUUCCGCAAUGGACGAAAGUCUGACGGAGCAACGCCGCGUGAGUGAAGACGGCCUUCGGGUUGUAAAGCUCUGUGAUCCGGGACGAAAGAGCCUGAGGUGAAUAGCCUAAGGAAGUGACGGUACCGGAAAAGCAAGCCACGGCUAACUACGUGCCAGCAGCCUCGGUAAUACGUAGGUGGCAAGCGUUGUCCGGAAUUAUUGGGCGUAAAGCGCGCGCAGGCGGCUUCCUAAGUCCAUCUUAAAAGUGCGGGGCUUAACCCCGUGAUGGGAUGGAAACUGGGAAGCUGGAGUAUCGGAGAGGAAAGUGGAAUUCCUAGUGUAGCGGUGAAAUGCGUAGAGAUUAGGAAGAACACCGGUGGCGAAGGCGACUUUCUGGACGAAAACUGACGCUGAGGCGCGAAAGCGUGGGGAGCAAACAGG